UUAGUUAAAAAGUCACUAGGUAGGGUUGAGCAACAUAAGAGUCCAAACAGCAUAGACAGGGUGUCAAAGCCCAACCAGGAUAGGGAGGGGUAAGGGAGUAGCGGGGAGGAUAACAGCCCAGCAAAGAGGGUCAAAGCUUAGAAGAGUAAAAAGGUCCUCAGGACCUGAGCAUGGUAGGAAGUCUCCUGUGAAGGGCAACUGAGUACAGGGUGUUGAAGCCAAGACGUGAUGAAGAGAGUGUUGAACACAGGAACACUGAUUAAAAAGGGUUGGGAAACUAGUUUGCAUGGCCAAACCUAGCCCACCAUCUGUUUUGUUUCCUGCUGUUCCCAGCCUGCACUAUGGACUUCAUCAGAUUUCAGCAUUAGAGAGAAUAUGGAAGGACAUCAACCUAACUUCAUCCAGUGAGGAUUUCCACACACCAUACACUCUCUGAGAGUUCUCCUGGCUUUGUGUGCACACCACCAGUGACAGGGAGCUCGCUAUGUCAUGAGGCAGCCUGCUCCCUUGUGGCUAUCACUGACCCAACUAUUAAGCCUUCUUAUACGGACAGUCCCUGACUUGCCAUUAGACUUACGACUUUUUGAUUUUACACUGGUGCAAAAACAAUAUGCAUUCAGUAGAAACUGUAUUUCAAAUUUUGAAUUUUGAUCUUUUCCCAGGCUAGCAACAUAUGAAGGCCAACCUUUUGUUUUUAAAAUAGGCUGUGUGUUAGAUGCUUUUGCCCAACUAUAGGUUAAUGUAAAUGUUCUGAGAAUAUUUAAGGAAGGCUAGGCUAAACUGUGAUCUUUGGGAGCUUAGAUAUGUUAAGUGCAUUUUCGACUUACAAUAUUUUCAACUUACGAUGAGUUUAUUGGGAUGAAGCCCAUUGUAAAUAAAGGAACAUCUGCAUUAAGCUAAAAUUCAUGUCUAUAACUUCGUCAGUAAUAUCAAGUCUGUUCCUCAGAGCCAGAGAAUAAACUGAAUCAUUUUCCACAUGAUGGUCUUUCAGCUGUUUAAAGAGAUCAGCCAUGUACCUUCUCCCAAGCUGAAGACAACUCCUCACCAGGCUACCUUUCAAUUCUACCUUUUUUUAAAAAGAGAUGGGGUCUCA